rnacentral:rRNA from 1 species
AUUGAACGCUGGCGGAAUGCUUUACACAUGCAAGUCGAACGGCAGCACGGGGCAACCUGGUGGCGAGUGGCGAACGGGUGAGUAAUACAUCGGAACGUGCCCAGUCGUGGGGGAUAACGUAGCGAAAGCUACGCUAAUACCGCAUACGAUCUACGGAUGAAAGCGGGGGACUCGCAAGAGCCUCGCGCGAUUGGAGCGGCCGAUGGCAGAUUAGGUAGUUGGUGGGGUAAAGGCUCACCAAGCCUGCGAUCUGUAGCUGGUCUGAGAGGACGACCAGCCACACUGGAACUGAGACACGGUCCAGACUCCUACGGGAGGCAGCAGUGGGGAAUUUUGGACAAUGGGCGCAAGCCUGAUCCAGCCAUUCCGCGUGCAGGAUGAAGGCCUCGGUUGUAAC